rnacentral:lncRNA from 1 species
UUGGCAGUUUAAAGAAAUUGGAAUUUGAUGGAGCCAUUAAAAGAGAGAUUGUAAUUCCAUCUCAUGUACUUCCUUACUUGAAGACCUUAGAAGAAUUGAAUGUACAUAGCUCCGAUGCAGCGCAGGUAAUAUUUGACAUAGAUGACACUGAUGCCAACCCCAAGGGUAUAGUCUUUCGUUUGAAAAAACUUACUCUAAAACGCUUGCCUAAUUUGAAAUGUGUAUGGAACAAAACCCCCCAAGGAAUUCUCAGCUUUUCCAAUUUGCAAGAUGUGGAUGUUACUGAAUGUAGAAGCCUGGCAACAUUGUUCCCUUUGUCCCUUGCCCGAAAUCUUGGGAAGCUUAAGACCCUUCAAAUAUUUAUCUGUCAAAAGUUGGUAGAAAUUGUUGGAAAGGAAGAUGUGACGGAACAUGCAACAACUGUUAUGUUUGAUUCCCUUGUUUGUGGACUGCUUCUUAUAAGCUGUCCUGCUUAGUGCUUUUUAUCCUUGAAAACACCAUCUGGAAUGCCCCUCCUAACAAGCUUGCGUGUGUCCUAUUGUCCUAAGUUGAAGCUAUUCACAUCAGAAUUUCGAGAUAGUCCCAAACAAGCAGUUAUAGAGGCUCCAAUUAGCCAACUACAACAACAACCUCUGUUCUCGGUUGAAAAGGUGACAAAACAUUAUCAGUUAUACUUUUUGUGCUUUUUUUUUCUUUAAUUUCAUAUUAUAUUUUCCUCCUUCUAAUUACCACCUUGCAUUUUCUUUUUAAUUUGUUUGGCCUUGCUAGAUUGCAAUCAAUCUGAAGGAAUUGACACUCAAUGAGGAAAACAUUAUGUUGUUGAGCGAUGGACAUUUGCCACAAGACCUCCUUUUCAAAUUAAGAUUUCUUCAUCUAUCCUUUGAGAAUGAUGACAAUAAGAUAGACACUUUGCCUUUUGAUUUCCUUCAGAAGGUACCCAGCUUAGAACAUCUUCUAGUGCAAAGGUGCUAUGGUCUGAAGGAGAUAUUUCCCUCUCAGAAACUCCAAGUUCAUGACCGUUCACUUCCCGCAUUGAAACAAUUAAUCCUGUAUAAUCUUGGAGAGCUGGAGUCGAUAGGGUUAGAGCACCCAUGGGUUCAGCCAUACUCUCAAAAGCUUCAAUUAUUACAUCUUAUCAACUGUUCUCAGUUAGAAAAACUAGUGAGCUGUGCAGUGUCUUUCAUCAAUCUGAAAGAGUUGCAAGUGACGUGCUGUAAUAGGAUGGAGUAUUUAUUGAAAUUCUCAACUGCCAAAAGUUUGUUGCAACUUGAGACCCUAUCUAUAGAGAAAUGUGAAUCAAUGAAGGAAAUAGUAAAAAAAGAAGAAGAAGAUGCUUCUGAUGAGAUCAUAUUUGGACGCCUCAGAAGAAUAAUGUUGGAUUCAUUACCAAGGCUAGUAAGGUUUUAUUCAGGGAAUGCCACUUUGCAUUUAAAGUGUUUGGAAGAAGCCACGAUUGCUGAAUGCCAGAAUAUGAAAACAUUCUCAGAAGGAAUAAUAGAUGCGCCAUUAUUAGAGGGGAUUAAAACUUCAACAGAGGAUACUGACUUAACCUCCCACCAUGAUCUCAACACCACAAUCCAGACCUUGUUUCACCAACAGGUCAGGAAUCAUUAUCCACCAAAUUCAAUUGUUAUUUGUUUAUAUCUCUAAACAUAGGGGGCAUGCUAAUUAACCAAUGUCUCAACAAUAUUGAUUAAAAAAUUCGAGUUAAAAUAUGUUUGUAACUUUAAAUAAAUAUCUAAAAUUUGUGUUUGAUUCUUAAUAAUAUUUUUUUUGUGUGUGUCAUAAGUUUUUUUUUUUUUGUUAUUGGUCCUUCAUAUUUUUUAUAAUUCCUAAUAAAUUUAUAUUUAUUUGUUUAUUAUUUUUUAUUUUAGUAUUUUUUUUUAAAAUGACUAAUAACAAAUACAAAAAAUUUAUUUGGGAGUAAACAAAAACAAAUUUCUUAAUUUAUAAGACACUAAAAAAGAAUCAUUGACCAAAAAUAAGAUUGUUAUUUUAUUAAAGAUUCAAUAUAAUUUUAUUUUCCUUUUAAUUCCUUAAAUAAUGUCCUAAAAAUACUAGUUAAUCAAACCUUUAUUUUAAAAUGUACACUCUCGUUCUUUCCCUUGUACUUUAGGUAAUUUUUAAUGUAUAUAAUAUCUUAAUAGUUGUGAAUAAAUAUGAGUUAGUGUGUCUCCCAAUUAUAUAUUAUCUUUUUCUACCACUUUUAAUGUGACCACCAACUAAUUUUUAAAAACCUAUAUAUUGUUGAUCAUAAUUUUUUUAUAAAGUAGAAUGAAACUUUAAAUAUUUUUAUUAUCACCAAUGAAUUAAGUCUAAUAAAAGAGCUUAAUCGAUGUAAUAAAUUAAUUAUAUAUGUUUCAAAUUAUUGAUAAAAUAGAUGUUCACAUUUAUUAUCUGACUUAGUUUUAAAUAGAAUUGUCUCUAAAUUAAAAACUAAAAAAUAUCUCUUUAAUUGCUUAUGAAAUUUCAUCUUCUAAUCAAAGUCACAAAAUUCAUAUCAUAUGUUCGAAAUUUGUAGAUCAUGGUGAGGAUAACUGCAAGAGAAUUAUUAGUUUAAAAAAAAAACUCAUUUACAUGAUAUAGACUGAAUUAUAAUACUUAUUUAUCUUUCAAGGAAGGAGAGUGUAUAUUUUAAAAUAAGAGUGAAAGUGAAUAUAAUUUAAGCUUCUCUAGGAUAGCAGAAGGAGAUUUACUCUAAAAUAUUUCUUACGGCAUACAUUACUUACUACAUUAAAAACUUGUCAUGAUGAUAUCUUUGUUUGCUUUUACCAACACUUGUUUGAUCUUUUACCAAUAGGUUGUGUCAUAAAUCAAUAUCUCAAAAGUUUAUUUGUUUUGGACAAAGACAUACAUAUGGUUUUAUAUAUUAUAUCUCUAAUUUGCCUUUGAAUCCCUUUGAUUAGCUUGAAAUGUGGAUAAUACAAUCCAUCUACGACCUUUAGACUCUAAUACUUACUUACAAUAUAUAUCAUGAACCAAUAAUUAAUGUCACAAGAUUAAGAUUAAGCUGUUGCGUAAAGGCACAUGAAUGAUUUUAAUUAAUAAUAUAUCUCAUAUAUUAAAUUUUAAAUACAUUUUCAUUAUUACAAUGGCUAUUGUGAGAAUAACAUAUUUAUAAUGUUCUUAUUAAGUUCUAUUUGACUUAUUAUAAUUAAUAAAUUUUGUGUUUGUUAUUUUAUAAUAAUUUUUUUUCAUUGGCUCUCCUAUAAAAUAAUAAUUUUAUUUCUAUUCUUGGUAUCGUUUUUUAAUCACUAAUGAACUUUUUUUUAUAACCUGAUAUUUUUUUUCAUGUUAUUAAACAAAAAAUUAAUAAUUUAUCAUCAACUAAAAAAGGUGUCAUAAACAAAAAUAAAACUUUUGUUUUAUUAGGAAUUCAAUACAAAGAACAAUAUUUAUUAAAAAAUAAAUAUAAAAUUUAAAUAUUUAUUGAGGAUCUAAAAUAUAUUUUACCCUAAUAUAAAUGUGAGAAAAAAGGAUAAGAGAGCUACCUUAUAGAAAGAAAUUAAGUAUCUAAAUGGACCAAAAAGAUACAGCAGUCAAAUUCGUUGUAUUUGACCCGUGUAACAAGACAAAGGAUAAGGUUCAUAAUCUCCACCAUGGGUAACACAUGUUUUGAAACUUCAAACACAUUUUUUGGAAGCUUAAAACAAAAGAAUACAUUUUUAUCCUACUUAAAUUGUAAAGAAAAAAUGAAAACUUAAAUUAGAGUAAGAUCAACUUCUAUGAAUAUCCAUUUUUAUCCUCUAACUUUUUAUCUUUAUCAAUAUUUUAAUUUUUUAAUCCAUGUUUUUUUGUUAUUGCUAAUACCUUGAAGAUAGUUUAGACCAUGUCUAUUAGGACAAAACCCAGCCUUUUCACUCUUUUUUUUUUUUUUUUUAUCGUAGGCUAGUUGAGUUCAAUUUCAAUUUUAUUUUGUUUCCUCUUCACCUUCCAUUAUUUUAUUUAUAACUCAACACAAUUUUUCUUGCCUUUUUCUUUUUAUUUAUAUAUUAUUUUAUUUGUGUCUUCUUAAACCAAAAUUUAACCACAAUUGUUAUUUUCACUCAUCUUUACACACUAUGACACUUCCUUUCUUAUUUUAUACCAAAAUUACCUUGCUAAACACUAUCAUCCUCUUUCUCUUCUCUUUCUUCAGAAAAGAAAAGAAAAAGAAAAAAGGCACUCCCCUCCACAACUCUAGUAACACAUUUGACAAAUGUGAAUGAUCUUAUUAUAAUUUGCUCAUUUUUUUAAAACAAAAUACUUAUGAGAGUAGUACAAAAUAAAGAAAUAUAUUUUGAAGCAAAUUUGUUCAUGCGCGUGCCUGUCGAUAACAAAACAACUCUUAACUCAACCAUUUUUGGAUGUCUUGAAUUUUUAUAUAUAGAAUAUUUCACUAAAGCAUGGAUGUAUCUCAACCUUAUUUUUGCUUGGGUGUUUAAUUCUUAAUCUUGUUAUAUGAUAUUAUUAAGAGAAAACAAAAGGACACCAUAAGGAAUGCCCCUUCUAGAACAUACAAUGCAUGUACACAACUCAGGAUAACAUACACUUACAAAAAGAUACUCACUAAAAUAAGUUACACUAAAAGAACACAAUUUUACAAAUAAAAAAAUGCUACAGAAAUAAAAAAAAACUGAUAUAUUAUUUAUAAUAAAAAAUACCGAUAAUUUUUUAUAUUUUAGAAAUCUACUGGAGGUCCCAAACAGCUCCCUUAAUUUUACUCAACCUUUUCAUACUAAUUGGGCAUAUUAACCCAAAAUAUUAUGUUAAAGUAUAAUUGGAUAUCUAAAGCCUUAUGUUUUUUUAUUUUUUAUAAGAGGAGCACAAAACAUUCUAUCAACCUUCUUUUCUUUUCUCUUCUCUUCUAUUUUUUUUUUAAUAUUUUGGGCGGGCAUGAGCUGUUAUAUUUUGGGCUUACAUGAGCUGAAAAGUUAUGUUAUCUUUUCUCCUUAUCUUUUCGUUUCAUUACAAUUUUCUUACCAUGUGGGUCAUAGACCUUUAGUCACUAUUUUAUUCCCAUUUUGGUCUUUCUACAUUUUAGACCAUUGGAAUCCAUUCUAAAAAUAAUAAAGAAAAUAACUCCUCUAGCCCAAAUAUUAAAAGAUGCUCUUACUUUAAAUUACAUGUAUAAACUUAUUUCUAUUAGACUCGUACAAAAAUAAUAUAUCAAAAUAAAGCGCAAAAUUUAAUUAAAAAACAAAAAUGAGAAUUUGAAAUUUAACAAGAGAUAAUUGUAGAUAUCUCAAUUAAGGAGGCACAUGCAUAUAUAGUUUUCUACAAUCAAAUGUAAAUCCAAGUGGUACACACGAGACUUGUCAAGUAUCUGACGUUGAGUUUCUCUGGCUUUGAAGGUAUUUUUUGAAUAUUCAAAGCAAAUGAUCCUUGUCGAUUACCUUGAGACAACGGGUGUUAGGCGCGCCAAACCUGCUUUUCUGAAGAAUUUCUUUGGCAGUUUAAAGAAAUUAGAAUUUGAUGGAGCCAUUAAAAGAGAGAUUGUAAUUCCAUCUCAUGUACUUCCUUACUUGAAGACCUUAGAAGAAUUCAAUGUACAUAGCUCCGAUGCAGCGCAGGUAAUAUUUGACAUAGAUGACACUGAUGCCAACACCAAGGGAAUGCUCCUUCCAUUGAAAAAGCUUACUCUAGAAAGCUUGUCAAAUUUGAAAUGUGUAUGGAACAAAACCUCCCGAGGAAUUCUCAGCUUUCCCGAUUUGCAAUAUGUGGAUGUUCAAGUUUGUAAAAACUUGGUGACACUGUUCCCUUUGUCCCUUGCCCGAAAUGUUGGGAAGCUUCAGACCCUUGUAAUACAGAACUGUGACAAGUUGGUAGAAAUUAUUGGAAAGGAAGAUGCGACGGAACAUGCAACAACUGAAAUGUUUGAAUUCCCAUUUUUGUUGAAGUUGCUUCUUUUUAAGCUGUCACUGCUUAGUUGCUUUUAUCCUGGGAAACACCAUCUGGAAUGCCCCGUAUUAGAAAGCUUGGGUGUGUCCUAUUGUCCUAAGUUGAAGCUAUUCACAUCAGAAUUUCACAAUGAUCACAAAGAAGCAGUUACAGAGGCUCCAAUUAGCCGGCUACAACAACAACCUCUGUUCUCAGUUGAUAAGGUGACAAAGCAUUAUCAGUUAAACUUUCUGUGCUUCCUUUUUUUCUUAAUUUCAUAUUAUAUUUUCCUCCUUCUAACUACCACCUUACAUUUUCUUUUGAAUUUGUUUGGCCUUGCUAGAUUGUUCCCAAUCUGAAGAGCUUGACACUCAAUGAGGAAAACAUUAUGUUGUUGAGCGAUGCACGUUUGCCACAAGACCUCCUUUUCAAAUUAACUUGUCUUGAUCUAUCCUUUGAUAAUGAUGGCAUUAAGAAAGAUACUUUGCCUUUUGAUUUCCUUCAGAAGGUACCCAGCUUAGAACAUCUUCGAGUGGAAAGAUGCUAUGGUCUGAAGGAGAUAUUUCCCUCUCAGAAACUCCAAGUUCAUGACCGUUCACUUCCCGCAUUGAAACAAUUAACACUGUUAGAUCUUGGAGAGCUGGAGUCGAUAGGGUUAGAGCAGCACCCAUGGGUUAAGCCAUACUCUGAAAAGCUUCAAAUAUUAACUCUUUGGGGGUGCCCUCGAUUAGAAAAUUAGUGAGCUGUGCAGUGUCUUUCAUCAAUCUGAAAGACUUGGAAGUGAUCGACUGUAAUGGGAUGGAGUAUUUAUUGAAAUGCUCAACUGCCAAAAGUUUGAUGCAACUUGAGAGCCUAUCUAUACGAGAAUGUGAAUCAAUGAAGGAAAUAGUAAAAAAAGAAGAAGAAGAUGGUUCUGAUGAGAUCAUAUUUGGAGGCCUCAGAAGAAUAAUGUUGGAUUCAUUACCAAGGCUAGUCGGGUUUUAUUCAGGGAAUGCCACUUUGCAUUUCAAGUGUUUGGAAGAAGCCACGAUUGCUGAAUGCCAGAAUAUGAAAACAUUCUCAGAAGGAAUAAUAGAUGCGCCAUUAUUAGAGGGGAUUAAAACUUCAACAGAUGAUACUGAUCACUUAACCUCCCACCAUGAUCUCAACACCACAAUCCAGACCUUGUUUCACCAACAGGUAAGCAAUUCAUUAUCCAAAUUCAAUUCUUAUUUAGUUAUAUCUAAGUAUAGGGUCAUGCUAAUUAACCAAUGUCUGUUGUUGAUUACAAAAUUUAGGUUAAAAUAUGUUUAUAAUUUUUAAUAAAUAUUUAGUUUUCUGUUUGUUUUCUAAUAAUUUUUUUUUGUAUUUAUCAUCUAAUAAAACAAAAAUUUUGUUAGUGAUUCUUGACAUUUUUUAUAGUUACUAAUAAAUUAGUUAAUUUUAUGUUUAUUAUUUAUAAUUUUUUCCAUUUUGAUAUCGUUUUCUUUAAAAAAAAGACUAAUAACAAAUACAAACAAUUUAUUAUCGAACUGACUAAAAAUUUGUUAAUUUAUAAAAUACUAAAAAAUAUCAAUGACCAAAAAUAAAUUUUUUAUUUUAUUAAGGACUAAAUAAAUUUUUUUUAUGAAGAAUUAAACAUAAAAUUUGAGUAUUUAUUUAGGAUUAAAAACAUAGUUUAGCCAAAAUUUUAAAAUAGAAUUUUUUAUUUUUUAUUUUUUGAAAUUGCUUUGAAUUUAUAAUAGGGAUGUACCUGAUUACUCUAUUAUAUAAAAUAAUAGUCUUUUGGGAAAUAUUUAAUUAAUAUAAAUUUUGACAAAAAUACCAUUUGUAUGCCAACCACUCCUGUCAUAAAUAAUCCUACUACCCAUCCAACUUAUUUUUACGAUUAACGCAAGUAUUAAUUUAUUCUCUUAGUUAUAUACUGGAGUAUUGUUGGAAAGUAGCUUUAAAAGGUAAAGGACUAUUGUUUUGAAAUAUUAAUAAUACUUAUUAAUUAAAAAAUUAUAUUUUAAAUUCUUUAACGGGUACCCUUAGGGCAUUAAUUAGCAUUGGCCAUAAAUUUAAUUUGGAAGCCACAAAUUGAUUCUAGAGUAGUAUUUCUCUUAUCUAGUAUUUUAAGAUAAAUGCUAGCCAAGGUAUUGAAUAAAGAAGUAAAGAAAGAAAAAGUUUUAUUGGAAUGAAAAAAAUACACUUUCCUAUGAUUUUAAAAUGUGUUUUGAUAUGAUUUCCAACAAAACAUUUUUCAAAUAUUCUAAGCUAACCAUACCUUUAUUUUAAAAUAUACACUUUACUCCCUUAAGUUACACUUUAGGUAAAUGUAGACAAUUUUUAAUAACUAUGAACAAAUAUGAGUUAAUGUGCUUCCCAAUCAUGUAUUAUCUUUUUUUAUAACUUUUAAUGUCGUCACCAACUAAUUUUAAAAAUCUUAUAUAUUGUUGAUGAUAGUUUUUUUAUAAAGUAGAAUGAAGAUUUAAAUAUCUAUAUUAUCAACAAUGGAUUAGGUCUAAUAAAAAGGGUUAAUCUUUUACAAUGUAAUAAAUUAAUUAUAUUUGUUUCAAAUUACGGCUAAAAUAUGUCCACAUUUGCUAUCUAACUUGGUUUUAAAUAGGAUUGUCUCUAAAUUAAAAACCAAAAAAUAUAUUUUUAAUUUUUUUAAAAUUUCAUCUUCUAAUUAAAGUCACAAAAUUCAUAUCAUAUGCUCGAUAUUUGUAAAUUAUUGUGAGGAUCACUGCAAGAGAAUUAUUAUUUAAAAAAAAUAAAGUCAUUUACAUGAUAUAGACUCAAAUAUAAUACUUAUUUAUCCUUCAAGGAAGGAGAAUGCAUAUUUUAAAAUAAGAGGGAAAGUAAAUAUAAUUUAAGCUUCUCUAGAAUUGAAGAAGGUAAUUUACUCUAAAAUAUUUCUUACGGCAUACAUUACUCUAAAAAUAUAUCAUGAUAUCUUUGUUAGCUUUUACCAAUACUUGUUCAAUUUUUUACUAAUAGGUUGUGUGUCAUAAAUUAAUAUCUCAAAAGUUUAUUUGUUAUGGAUUAAGACAUACAUGUGGUUUUAUAUUACAUCUCUAACUUGCCUUUGCAUCCCUUUGAUUAAUUGGUUUGAAACGUGGAUAAUACAAUCCAUCUACGACCUUUAGACUCUAAUACGGACAAUAUAUAUCAUGAACCAAUAAUUAAUGUCACAAGAUUAAGAUGUUACGUAAAGGCACAUGAAUGAUUUUAAUUAAUAAUAUAUCUCGUAUAUUAAAUUUCAAGUACAUUUUCAUUAUUACAAUGGCUAUUGCGAGAAAAACAUAUCCACAAUUUUCUUAUUAUAGGUUCCAUUUUUUACUUAUUACAUAGGCUAAAAGCAAGAAAUAUAAAUGCUCUCUUUUUGUUUUCGUUUAAUCUAAUAGAAAUUUAGUUUCUUCCUCCAAUAUUGUAGCUGCCUUCUCUCUUUUGUUUCACAAUUCUGUUAUUAUAAACCCUCCACUUAGUUUAUAUCCAUUCAGAGCAAAGCUACCUUUACCGCUUUGUAUACUCCAAUACUUUAUUUUGUAGUGAUUUAUAGGAUUAAUCUAGUAGAAAAUUAGUGUUCAAGUGUAUAAAACAAUAAAUAUAACUUUAUCAUAAAUGAAUGAAUCUAACAUGAGUGAAAGAUUUAUAAUAAAAUAGAGGAUAAAAUAUGUUUUAGAUUCCUGAUAAAUUAAUAAAUUUUGUAUUUAUUUUUUUAUAACAAUUUUAUUUUUACUAUAAAAUAAAAAUUUUAUUUUUAAGUCUUGAUACCAUUUUUAGUCACUAAUAGAUUAGUGAACUUUUUGUUUGUAUCUAAUAAUUUUUUUCAUGCACGUACAUGCCAAUAAUAAAACAACUCCAACUCAACCAUUUUUUGUCGUCCUGAAUUUUUUUUAUAGGAUAUUUCAGUAAAGCAUGAAUGUAUCUCAACCUUAUUUAUUUUUAGUUGUUUGACGCUUCAUCUUGUUAUAAUUUUUUGAUAUGAUAUUAUUAAGAGGGAAAAAAAAAAGACACCAUAAAAAAUGUCAUUUUCUCAAGUUUUUCACUUUUAUUCAAUGUGCAACUUUACUUCACUUAUACUCCUAUGCAUAUAUUAAUAAAAUAGACAAAAACCAAAAUAUAAAACAUAAAGAAACACAAAUCUUUUGUAAGAAAUAAACUAGCUAGACCCCAACUUAGUGCCCGUACGAGAAUGAUUUUAGCUUUAAAAUGUAUCAUAAAGCCUUGUAGUAGACCUUGCAUUUUAUUCUUUCAGUCGUUCCCUUGUAUAUUUUCAACGCUCAUCCACCUUGAGUCAGCCAUCAAUCUUUCGAAGACAAAAUCUAAAACUAUUGAUCCACUCAAACUAAGAGUAAGAAAAUCCUUCAAUAAAAUUAUAUAAUGGUAAUCACCUUAUAACAUUACCUUAUAAAACGUUUUGGGUGCACCUUUGUUGUGCGACGUAAAAACAAUAGAUCGAAUUCUAUGCUCUAAUCACACUAAUAGUAUCACAAUGUGUUUUUGGUUGGAACAAAUUGUCAGGAGGUUGAGUGGUGUGGGAGGAGAGUGGUUUUCGAAAUGUAGAAGUGUGUAUUUUUUCGAAAAAGAUUUAAAUUGGGGAAGAAAGAGAAAAUGAGAGUGUGUUUUAUAAGGUAGUUUGAGAUGGAGUGUCUUUUUUCUUUUUCCGAGAAGAAAUAGAAGAGAGAGAUGAGAUAGUGUGUUUAAUGGGUAGUUUCAGUAUAAAAAAUGAGAAAGAAAGUGGAUUAAUAUAAAAGGGAGUGAAAAUAGCAAUUACCAACUUAACAAAUCUUUUAGGCUUUUUUUUCUUCUUUUAUUUCUAUUCUUUAAUUUUAUUCUACCUUUUCAUACUGAUUGCGCAUAUUAGUCCAAAAUAUUAGUUGAAUAUCCAUACCCUUAUGUAUUUUUCAUGAGCUGAAAAAGCUCUUUUCUCCUGAUCUUUUCAAUUCAUUAUCAUUUUAUUUUUUUCAUUCUUGAGCCAUAUGGGUCAAAACCUUUUAGCCACUAUUUUAUUCCUAUUAUGCUCUUUGUACAUUUUAGACCAUUGGAAUCCAUUCUAAAAAUAAUGAAUAAAAUUAUGAAUUAUAAUAAUAAUAUUUUUGGGAUUCUAACCAAAAAUGGCAUAAAUAACUCCUCUAGCACAAAUAUUAAAACAUGCUACAUGUAUAAACUGAUUUCUAUUAGACUGGUACAAAAACAAUAUAUCAAAAUAAAGCGCAUAAUUUAAUUAGAAAACAAAAAUGAGAAUUUGAAAUUAACAAGAGAUAAUAAUAGAUAUCUCAAUUAAGGAGGCACAUGCAUAUAUAGUUUUCUACAAUCAAAUGUAAAUCCAAGAGGUACACAUGAGACUUGUCAAGUAUCUGACGUUGAGUUUCUAUGGCUUUGAAGGUAUUUUUUGAAUAUUCAAAGCAUAUGAUCCUUGUCGAUUACCUUGAGACAACGGGUGUUAGGCACGGCAAACCUGCUUUUCUGAAGAAUUUCUUUGGCGGUUUAAAGAAAUUAGAAUUUGAUGGGGAGAUUAAGAGAGAGAUCGUAAUUCCAUCUCAUGUACUUCCUUACUUGAAGACCUUAGAAGAAUUGAAUGUACAUAGCUCCGAUGCUGUGCAGGUAAUAUUUGACAUAGAUGACAGUGAUGCCAACACCAAGGGAAUGGUCCUUCCAUUGAAAAAGCUUACUCUAAAAGGCUUGUCAAAUUUGAAAUGUGUAUGGAACAAAACCCUCCGAAGGAUUCUCAGCUUUCCCAAUUUGCAAGUAGUGUUUGUUACGAAAUGUAGAAGCUUGGCAACAUUGUUCCCUUUGUCCC